UGUGUUGAAAUCUGGUGUCCAUGGCAACCAGAACAUCACCAAUCUCAAAGCACUCACUGUGGGGACCAGCUGAAUGUUCACUUAUACAAUGACUUUAGGAGGGAACCACGUUCCUAACAGACUUUAUAGCUCUCGAAGGCUGAAGAGAUCCAGUGCUCAGCCAGAAAGUGUGACUUCUCCACAGUCUGUUCUGUUCUUCGUGUUUAUGCUGUUCCUGCUCAGUGAUGCAGGAAUGUUCUGAGAGAACAUCUAUGGAAUGUUACCUAGUAAUGAAACAACGUGGUCAUUUAUAGGUCAAGUUUGUCAAUAAAUACUUCCU
rnacentral:lncRNA from 1 species